UACGUAGGGUGCGAGCGUUGCCCGGAUUUAUUGGGCGUAAAGGGCGCGUAGGCGGCCACGCACGUCCGUUGUGAAAUCGCCCGGCUCAACUGGGCGGGGUCAGCGGAUACGGUGUGGCUCGAGCAAGCUAGGGGGCAAUGGAAUUCCCGGUGUAGUGGUGGAAUGCGUAGAGAUCCGGAAGAACACCGGUGGCGAAGGCGGCCCGCUGGGAUCUGGCUGACGCUGAGGCGCGACAGCGUGGGGAGCAAACAGG
rnacentral:rRNA from 1 species